GAAUAUUGUGUUAGAGCUCAUUACUGCUUAGCCCUAAUUAGCAGUAGGAAUGAGUUCAGACUACACAAGUGUUUACACUACUUUUAACUUGUGCUCCUUAGAAUAAAAAGGGGAAAAUAUAGCAAAUUGGAUUGCUACUUCAUUAUGUCUGAAGUUGUAAUGGAAGUGAUUGUGGUCACUUACAUGUAUCAAUAUUUAACAAUUGCCCC